rnacentral:rRNA from 1 species
UGGCUCAGAAUGAACGCUGGCGGCGUGCCUAACACAUGCAAGUCGGAAUGUGCCGCAAGGUGCAUGGCAGACGGUGAGUAACGCGUGGGGAAUCUACCUCUUUGUGGGAAUAACGCUCCGAAAGGAGUGGUAAUACCGCAUGAGACCGUUUUCUGGGAUGGAGACGGUGAACCUGGGGACCGAAAGGCCUGGGGCAAGGAGAGGAUCCUGCGUCUGAUUAGCUAGUUGGCGGGGUAAUUGGCCCACCAAGGCGACGAUCAGUAGCCGGCCUGAGAGGGUGAUCGGCCACACUGGAACUGAGACACGGUCCAGACUCCUACGGGAGGCAGCAGUGGGGAAUUUUGCGCAAUGGACGAGAGUCUGACGCAGCAACGCCGCGUGGGUGAUGAAGGUCUUCGGACUGUAAAACCCUGUCGUCAGGGACGAAGGUGCUCGUGUUAAUAGCGCGAGUGCUUGACGGUACCUGGAGAGGAAGCCCCGGCUAACUCUGUG